rnacentral:miRNA from 1 species
CUUACUUGUUCUUACCUUGGUGCUCAGGCAGCAGCAGGCUCUGUAGAGGCAAGCUUGUGACUCCUCUGAUCACACAGGAGACAGAGAGGUGGA